AUAAUAAUAAAAUCUCCAGCAGCACGCGCCAAUCUCGGUUAAUUUAUCUCCCAGCUUCCUCCUUUGCCUUCGCUUCUCGCCUUCAUGUUGUUUGAGAAAAUCUCUCUUUCUAUCCCUCUUCUCUCUGCUUCUCUCUUUAGAAUUCGCGACUACUAUACGACUACGACAACGACAGCCAUCAUCUUCAACCUUAACGCGCCAAGUAUCAGAUCCCAGCAUCUUUUUUUUUUUAUACAAUUUUACCCUCAUCUUCUCCAAUCCUUCUUCUGCAGCAUACAUAAUAAUAAUAACCUCCCUCUCUCUCUCUCUAGAAUGAAUUAAUUGAGGAUGUGUGUUGGGGAAUGCAAGUGUAGAAGCUUCUUUAAUUAAUUAAUACACGCCUUUCAAGCCAAGCAAAAGCAACCAAGCGAACCAUAUUCCUUGUAAUCUAUCAACAACUUCUGUUUUUUCUUUUUUCUCUUUUAUUUUCCAGUUAGAAUUUGAUAGCAAAAUAACGUUGGACAUUAAAUUAAUAUCUGCACCGGCUCCUUCUUUGGUUUGUUUCGAUAUGCGUGUUUGAUCUGCAGCCGUUGAUCAAUCCAGCGUGGAGUUGUUGGCCGUUUUUGCUGUUAUUAUGAUAUGAAGUUCAGCGGUGAUUCUUUCUUUUCUUCUUUCCUUCUCCUUCUUCUACUUCUUCUUUGUUCUUCUCUUGCAUUCUCAUGGAAUUCCCUUUUUCAAGUGACUUGCGGUGAUUGUGGAGGUAAAUUGAGAUUCAACCGUGGAUUAAAGCGUAAUUUUCAUGGGGAAACUCGACAAUAAUAAUAAUGACAAAUUUAUUUUUCCUUUAACAAGUCUCCAGAUUGGAGACUUGCAGUCUUAUCUUUCAGAUCUUAGUGUUUUCUUGGCCAUCGAAAGUAAUAAAUUAUAUAUCUUGGUGGACAAUCGGCCAUGGUUAAGGGAUCUUGGUUCACAUCCAGCGCACUUGUGGCAAUUAAUGGUUACCAAGUCCAGGUUAUCUCCUUUUGCAAACACGAAGGUUCGGAGGGAGAGAAGAGAAGUAAAGGACGCUUGUUCUGCGCCUAGUCGUAGUAAAUCAAAGAAGUCUGAGAGAUGGUUCUCAUUGAUUGAUGCAGCAACUUUCUCUCGGAAAAGAGGUUUGCUACCCGUGAAGAAAUUACGUAAUUCUUUGUUUCUAAGCGGUGAGUUACACAGGACCCUCUACGGUUUUAUCGUGUUUGAAGUUGACUGGACUGAUGUUCGGGGUAUUAACUACUUGAAUGAGCUUCAGACGGAUACAUCUCUGGCUAUUGAGACCAAGAUUAUGCGGAGAUGGGAAUUCGAUAGUAUAGAGCAAGCUGCAAGUUAUAUAUCGUUGUGGUUCUCAGGACCAAUUUCUGAGCAGCUACACCUGAAAGAGUAUCUGGAAUGUUCUAUAGGUGAGACAUUUUAUGAUGCUGAAGAAAAUUCUUCAAGUACUCUCUCUAUUGAUGAUGACGACAAUAUCUGCAAUGUUGAGGAUAUCUCCUUAUGCCCUGGUGGUAGUUUCAGUGCAUAUCCUGGGACCAUGGAGAAUAGUGCAAGUGAUCCACACACACCUCCUCCCAAUGGGCCUUAUAAGAGAAGAAAGGUAAUCAAGUCCUUUGGUACUGGAGUUGAAGUUGAUUUUUUUUCUGAGGAAACAGCGGGUGGAGGUGAAGACUCAUUGAACAACACAGAGACCUAUACCAGUGAUAGCGAUUGUGAAAACACUGUUGAAGCUAAGCAGUAUCAGGACGUUUUGAUCCUGUUUAGGUUCAAUGAUCAUGAUCUUCCGUUUAAAUUGAGGGAUGUAAUAAUGCCUGAUUUGCGGUUGCUUACUUUAUUAGAGGCUGGACUCCCAUCAUGGGUUAUCUUUCUUCAGUCAUAUCCUGGAUUUUGCCAUCUAUAUCGCCCCUGGAUGUGCCCUCUGGCUAGAGCUUUAUAUGUGCUGAUCUCAAUUGUCACUGUUCUUAUAGGAUUUUAUGAUUUAUACAAAAAUGUUCCAGUUCUUAAGGCAACUGCAUCUCGUUUGUGUGGGCCACUUUUUGAUUGGAUAGAGACAUGGGAGAUGGUAUCAAGGAUUAAGUACUUGGGAACAAUGCUAUUCCUGCACAACUUUCAGAAGGCUAUAACAUGGCUUUUAACUGUUACACGGACCACUAGAUCAUUCUUUUCUGUUUUCACACAACCUUUGGCUGAACCACUUAUGGAGUUGCUUGGCUUCCUUCUUCCGAUGUGGAAUGUGCUGAUUGAAGUGGUAGAGAGCCUGUGUUCUAUUGUUUGGGUUGUCGGUGGAUCUAUUUGCAAUAUAGUUGUGGAUUUAAUACAGGUUAUACUGUGGCCUUUGUGGCUUAUCAUCUCGAUGAUCUGGAGCAUUGCAACUUCAAUUUUAUAUCCCAUGUUUUGGAUCCUUUGGGAAGUACUCUAUGCUCCCAUCCGUAUGGUACUUGCGAUGGCCAGUCUUGUAGCCUUUAUAUGUGCCUCGAUAUCAGAAUUGAUUGGAGAUAUUUGGCGGUCUCUGAGCACCAUAUUCCAGUUUGCUUCAGCAUCUGAGGCAACAAUAAGCACUUAUGAAGUUUCCAUGUGGCGGUCGCUUUGGAAUGACAUAUUUUCUCAGGUUUUCCGUGCUCUUAGGAGUAUAUUGAAUGGUUUUGUUGCCUUCUUCACAGCCUGCAAUCGGCAUCGCCUUAGCAUUUAUAAUCACACACAAGAUUUCACUGGAAGAAUAUUUGGUCGAGCUCAGAGAUCACAACCUUCAGAUUCUAGGCAUAGCAGGGCACCGGGGGGGACUCGAAAUCUGGCUGGAGUAAAUCGGAAAAUUCACAUCAGUAGUUAAAAUACAAUAAUUUCUAUCACACUAAAGACGGAGAAGGUUCUGCAAACAGAGAGCCCGUGUCUCUUGGAUAAAAUACCUUUGACAACAGGAGAGCCAGAUUUAAAGCAAAUCUGGGGAGGAGGAGGCAACAGGGAAUGCUCACUUGGGAAUUUCUGCAGCUACAUUUACAGGUGGGUGGAUGAGUUAAGUGCUGCUGUUAGUGAAUAGGAAAAAUCUCGAGCACAUCUGCACCUAGAAAUUCGGAUGAGGAAGAGAAUCGAGCUAUGGAGCAGAAGCAAUCGUUAUUUUUUUAAAGAAAAUGGGUAGAAUGCCAAAAAAGUAGAGUCACACAAUACAUGCACAGUAAAACGUGUGGAAAGGGCUUUUUGUCCAAAACUAAGGGAGUAAGAAAAAGUGAAAUUGAAAUGUAGAAGAAGAAAAAUAGGGACGAAAGAAGUUUGUAAGAGUGUGUUUGAGAGGAGAGAAAUAGGAAAUCUUUUUUAUGCCCUCUAUAAAACGACAGCAUAUGAUGAGUGGUAGAGUACAUGUAGGGGCUUUGUAGUAACUUAAGGGUUUUCUUGGGUGAAAUGACAAUAUCAGCUAUCAAAUUGAUUUUGAAGAACUGUAACAAAUAUUGUUUCAUGUUUACAAUUGAUUUCUUUGGGAUUUCCGUUCUCCCUUUUCAAAUCAA